rnacentral:rRNA from 1 species
UUUUUAUGGAGAGUUUGAUCCUGGCUCAGAGUGAACGCUGGCGGCGUGCCUAAUACAUGCAAGUCGAACGAUGAAGCUUCUAGCUUGCUAGAAGUGGAUUAGUGGCGCACGGGUGAGUAAUGCAUAGGUUAUGUGCCCUUUAGUCUGGGAUAGCCACUGGAAACGGUGAUUAAUACUAGAUACUCCCUACGGGGGAAAGUUUUUCGCUAAAGGAUCAGCCUAUGUCCUAUCAGCUUGUUGGUGAGGUAAUGGCUCACCAAGGCUAUGACGGGUAUCCGGCCUGAGAGGGUGAUCGGACACACUGGAACUGAGACACGGUCCAGACUCCUACGGGAGGCAGCAGUAGGGAAUAUUGCUCAAUGGGGGAAACCCUGAAGCAGCAACGCCGCGUGGAGGAUGAAGGUUUUCGGAUUGUAAACUCCUUUUGUUAGAGAAGAUUAUGACGGUAUCUAACGAAUAAGCACCGGCUAACUCCGUGCCAGCAGCCGCGGUAAUACGGAGGGUGCAAGCGUUACUCGGAAUCACUGGGCGUAAAGAGCGCGUAGGCGGGGUAGCAAGUCAGAUGUGAAAUCCUAUGGCUUAACCAUAGAACUGCAUUUGAAACUGUUACUCUAGAGUAUGGGAGAGGUAGGUGGAAUUCUUGGUGUAGGGGUAAAAUCCGUAGAGAUCAAGAGGAAUACUCAUUGCGAAGGCGACCUGCUGGAACAUUACUGACGCUGAUGCGCGAAAGCGUGGGGAGCAAACAGGAUUAGAUACCCUGGUAGUCCACGCCCUAAACGAUGAAUGCUAGUUGUUGUGAGGCUUGUCCUUGCAGUAAUGCAGCUAACGCAUUAAGCAUUCCGCCUGGGGAGUACGGUCGCAAGAUUAAAACUUAAAGGAAUAGACGGGGACCCGCACAAGCGGUGGAGCAUGUGGUUUAAUUCGAGGAUACGCGAAGAACCUUACCUAGGCUUGACAUUGAUAGAAUCUACUAGAGAUAGUGGAGUGCCCUUUUAGGGAGCUUGAAAACAGGUGCUGCACGGCUGUCGUCAGCUCGUGUCGUGAGAUGUUGGGUUAAGUCCCGCAACGAGCGCAACCCUCGUCCUUAGUUGCUAACAGUUUGGCUGAGCACUCUAAGGAGACUGCCUUCGUAAGGAGGAGGAAGGUGAGGACGACGUCAAGUCAUCAUGGCCCUUACGCCUAGGGCUACACACGUGCUACAAUGGGGUGCACAAAGAGAUGCAAUACUGUGAAGUGGAGCCAAUCUCUAAAACAUCUCUCAGUUCGGAUUGUAGUCUGCAACUCGACUACAUGAAGCUGGAAUCGCUAGUAAUCGUGAAUCAGCCAUGUCACGGUGAAUACGUUCCCGGGUCUUGUACUCACCGCCCGUCACACCAUGGGAGUUGUAUUCGCCUUAAGUCGGAAUACUAAACUAGUUACCGCCCACGGCGGAUGCAGCGACUGGGGUGAAGUCGUAACAAGGUAACCGUAGGUGAACCUGCGGUUGGAUCACCUCCUUUCAAGAGACAU